rnacentral:lncRNA from 1 species
AUAAGAAGGUAAGAAGGCUGCAGCUUCCACCGGGCCUCUUGGGCUGUGUACUCUUGACACUCUUGCUCUGAGAACUAAGCAGGCAUAUUUCAUAUCAAAAUAGUAAAGAACUUCCUUUCCAAAGGCAGGACUUGCUUCUGUGAGGUACUGAGCCACCCGUCCCUGGAGGAAAGCAAGAACAGAGCAGAUCAGAGCCCAGGCAGACAUCUUGGAUGAUGGGGUACAUCUUGCCAUCCAGAGGCAAUGCUGGAGCGGGCAGUUGUCUGCGGGGAGGCCCUGGCUCACUCUGGGCCAAAUAACAGGACUGAUUGCAGCCUGCGAUGAAACAUCCUGUUUCUCCCAACCAGAAACAGGUAGAGGAGAGAAGAGCCCCAGUGAGAGAGUGAAGCAGAUGAAAAGAUAACAUGAAAACCAACCAAGCAACGAACAGACAAACAAAAUAACCCAUUUCAAGUUCUCGGAGCCUGGUCUCAUUUCCAGCCGGAAAUUACUGCUGCAGACUGCAGGGUGCUCCCUGCACUCCCUGUGUAUAUGAUCUAGUGGUUGCUAAUGUCUUUAGAGAGAGAAAGACGUACACUGUUAUGAGGAGCUGCUUUAGGAUGGAAGAUGAGGCUUGCUUUUUCUUUCUCCUAGAAGUCAGCAUUUUACAUGAUUCUGGGAGGGAAGAAAGGAGACAGGAACCAAGGAGCCUGAGUGGGGAUUUGCCCACCACUGGGCAGCCAGGCUCCCGUCAGGAAGGCUUUUCAGAGGGAGUGUUGGAAGGAGUCGUCGAGGAGUCUUCCUCACCCAGGAAGUCUUCCUCACCGGGUGAGCCCCAACCUGCUGGACCUGCUCAGAAUUUGCCCAACAGGGGAUCCUGGUUGACUGAGGUCUGCUAAUUCCAACUGGCCUACGCUAAAUUCUCCCAGAAUGUCUUCAUCAUCAAUGAAUCGCUUUCCACUGACACGACGCCUGGAAGAACAUAAACACUGUGAGGAUAAAUGCCAAUGAAAUAAUAAUAAAAUAAACUUUCUUUGG